UGAGCUAUGACUGUCCUGCGUGGUUCCCUUCAGUCCUCAGUGGUGCGACUGAUCUGAAAGCAUAACCCAGAAUGAGCAACCUUACUUUACCUCUAUCACAGCCUGUCUAACUCAUCUAGGCCUUCUGUAGGAGUGCAGACAAAGGAAAUGUGCCACCUGGGUGACUUAAGUGAGUGGAAAAUACCCUGCUGUAGUGGCCACUCUGAUUUGAAUGAGACUGAAUGGCUGUUGGGUUAGUAUGAAAAUGAAUUUUCCAUGUCCCAGGACGGGGGCCAUGACCUAAGUGCAGACUCAGCGAGGGGAAGGUCUUCUGCCCUCAAAGCACAAAACAUCCCUCACCAAUGUUUCCAAGAAUUUCCUGUAUUAGGCCAAAUGAAACAACUAACUUGGCCUUCAGUGAGGACGUCUCGUAUCUCCACGCUGACAGCUUUAGUGCUGACCUUUUAAACCAAUAAAACUAGAUGACGUGUUGGGAUCGUC